rnacentral:rRNA from 1 species
GACGAACGCUGGCGGCGUGCCUAAUACAUGCAAGUCGAACGCAGUGGGGACGGGUGAGUAACACGUGGGUAACCUCCCAUCAGAGGGGAUAACACUUGGAAAAAGGCGCUAAACCGCUACUGAUGGAUGGACCCGCGGUGCUUUAGCCAGUCGGUGAGGUAACGGCUCACCAGGUCUACGAGGCAGAGCGGGCCUGAGAGAGGGAUCGCCCACAAGGGGACUGAGACACGGCCCAGACUCCUACGGGAGGAAGUAGUGGGGAAUCUUCGACAAUGGACGAAAGGCUGACCGAGCAAUGCCGCGUGAAUGAAGAAGGUUUUCGGAUCGUAAAGCUCUGUUGUUAGAGAAGCGGUAUCUAACCAGAAAGCCACGGCUAACUACGUGCCAGCCGCCGCGGUAAUUC